rnacentral:rRNA from 1 species
CCUCUGAGGACAACAAAGGUUCCAAGUUUUUUUAUUAUUAAGGGCGUUUUAUAGUUCUUACAACAAAAAUCGAACUAAGGGUACUAUAAACUCAUUCAUAUUAUUUUUGAAGAAGCAAUCGAAUAUAUGUGUAGAACGUGUUCGUUGCACAUUGCCUCGAAGUACAGCUUCCUGAAUUUUACACGUUACCUUUUAUGAGUACCACAAUUGGCCUGCUUUUAAGAAAUGGUAAGGUGGUCUCGUAUUUUUUUGUAUUAUCGGUCUGUGUAGGGACGUAAAGGAUUUAAUCAUGAGGGAAGCAUUUGAUUAUAUUCUCGCAAAUCUUGUGAUAAAACCACUAGAUUUGCAAGAAUAUAAUCAAAUGUCUCCCUCAUAAUAAAAUUUAUAUCAUUAUUGUUUUUAUUUACGACCAUGAAACUUACAGCUUCCAAAACAUCAUGUAAAGAACCUUGCAAUGUUGUAAAGACACCAAAGGUCAAAAAGAGGAGCGAGUGAGUGAGUGGGUGAGUGAGUCAGCGGAGAAGUGCGAGUAAGGGGAGCGAGUGGGUGAGGUGGUUUAGGGAUCGGGCGCCGCCGCUGCGUGGAGGGGGAGUGAGCGCAGCCGCUGAGUUGGCGUAGCGGCGGGAAGAGGAGUCCGCAGCGGCGGCCCGGAAGAGCAGACGUAGCGGAGAGGGAGAGCGGGCGUAGGAGACGCGGUGCCAGCUCGGUUUCAACCUAUAAAAUCGCUCCAGCUCAUCCUCGCACUCUUCGCGCCCGUGCCACCGGAACAGGACGAGCUCCUUCCGCCGCUGCCUACGAUCGCGAGGAGCGGCGGUAGCUGGACGUUCCUCCUCGCGGCACAACCUGCGACGGUAGAGGCUGCGACGACCAUGAGGAGGCGGCGAUGCUCACGGGGCAGUGGACGCGGGUCCAGUCGGCGCUUCAGCUCGAGGGGUACUAACUGGACGUUCCAAUAGUAGGAAUUAAAAGGGGUGUGGAAAGGUUAGAGACCUCGGAUCCUAAGCCCCUUUCCGUUCCUCUCUAAGACCUCGACUAACACUAACACUAACAACUACACCUACCUUAUACCUACAUCUACAUGACACCAGUUCUUGACGAGAGACGGCGCCCUCAUCUAACCUUUACGACGACGACGAGGACCUGUUACGCCGACGACGACGGUGAUGGUGAGCGGCUAAGCCCGUACUCGUGUAAGAACCUCACCUAGACGUAAAGUCUUUCAAUUGUCCACCCUCAUGUACCUCAUGGUGUAAAAUUCAGCUCCUCUUCUACCACGGACGAGGCACUACUACGGUGGUCGUGGAUGCUGAAGGAGCUGGUGGUGGUGGUACUACUGCUGAAGGAGCUUACACCACUCAUGAGGAGGUUACGAACAUGAGAAUAGUUACAAAUGACGACAUUAGUACCUCAUCAAUCGACGACAAUAGUACCGUCCUCAUUACGUGGUAAUCAACCAUUCUUUAUUACAGUCAUACUUUGGAGAGUUGUCAUUGACAAAAAAACACUCCUUGUCAUGUACCAAAGUUGAAAUAAACGGGGUAAGGUACAAGACUUUA